rfam:Coccidioides immitis RMSCC 2394 supercont1.4 genomic scaffold, whole genome shotgun sequence.
GGACCUAUGGCGCAACGGUAGCGCGUCAGACUCCAGAUCUGACGGUUGUGCGUUCAAAUCGCACUGGGUUCA